UACAGAGGUCUCAAGCGUUGUUCGGAUUCAUUGGGCGUAAAGGGUGCGUAGGUGGCGGGGUAAGUCAGGUGUGAAAUCUCGGGGCUCAACCCCCGAAACUGCACUUGAUACUGCCUUGCUCGAGUACUGGAGAGGAGAUUGGAAUUUACGGUGUAGCAGUGAAAUGCGUAGAUAUCGUAAGGAAGACCAGUGGCGAAGGCGAAUCUCUGGACAGUUACUGACACUGAGGCACGAAGGCCAGGGGAGCAAACCGGGAG
rnacentral:rRNA from 1 species